GCGAUGGGGGUACUGUGGUGGCGGCCAUCUUGAAAUCAGGGGCAUGAUUGGUCACGUGAUUUGCGAGCACCUCCUAUCCGACUCUCAGCCAUGUUUCUCCUGAUGUCUUCACUUCAGGACGUUUGGCAAGCGGGAGAGUGAAUUUGGACGUUGGCAAAGUGCUUUUGUGCACGAAUUGACUUGCAAGUUGUGGCUUUGGAGAAGCCAACAUGGAGAAGCGAAAAGAGUUGCUGGAGAGAAAAGUCCGAGACCCAAGGAGUGAGCUAUUUGUUGACGGGCUUUUGGAUGGUAUAGAGGCGCUUGUGAACGAUUGUAACUACCCACAGAUUCGUCGGAACAAGAAUGUUGAGAACUUCGUACAACGGUGUA